UCAUUCCAAAAACCCUCUCUCUGCCUCUCUCUCCUGUUUCUCUUUUCCAAUAUUCUAGGAGAAAACCCAAAGGGAGAAGAAAAAGGCUGUGGCUGCAUUCAGACACAUGCAUCAGUUUCUAGAAGAACAAGAGAGGAAUCUGCUGGCAAAAAUGGAAGAGGUGGAGAAGGAGAUUUCAGUCAAAGGGGAGGAACAUCUGGCCAGACUCUCUGAAGAACUCUCCUCUCUCUCGAAACUCAUCCAAGAGAUGGAGGAGAAGCAUCAGCAGCCGGCAAGUGAACUCCUCCAGGAUAUCAGAAGCUUCUUACAGGGGUAAGUU
rnacentral:lncRNA from 11 species